CUCACCUCCCUGCUCACCCUCUGAUGGCCUCCACCUCUCCAGGAACACAAACCAGUGGACUCAUGUGUUUCCAGGAUUCAUUCAAUCUAAUCCUGAGCAAAAACACUCAUCACAACCAUUCUCUGCGAUAGUCAGAGUUACUGUUUUUGUCAUUGUGGCAAAGAGUCAUUGUUCAAAGGACCAUGUUCUCCAUCAGCACAGACAGCUGCUGAUCUGUUCAUGCAAAGCCAGCUGUGGGAGGCAACGCCACAACAUGAACCUCAAGUUUUUAUAAUGUUUAUCCAGGCCUAAAUGAAUGAGAUUACUUCUAGAUGGUUUUUGAUGUGGAUCAGUGGCUGGACUAACACAGUCAUUCGCAUUUUUCACUUAAUGCAAGAGAAAAAACAAUCAUCAUGUAUCAAGAUUUAAACCUUGUCAACACAAACAUUAAGGUCUGUUGUUUUGGAGUUUGUUAUAUUUUUCUUUGUUUGCUGUUUGCAUUUUCACUUUUUCACUUUGUAUCAAUGAAAUUAUUGAAACAUGUAUUAAUAAUUAUUAUGUUUAUUUCUUAUUUGCCUCAGUUUAAACAUCCAGUUGAUCAUUUCCUGUUUAGUAUCACAACAAGUCUUGAAAAACCACCAAAAGUGAGACGUGCAUCACCCAGUGUUGUUAAGCAGUAUUGCAUUUAUACGAGGCCAAGGCAGUGCAGACAGCAGUUAACGAACUAUCGGAGCUGCACAAAAGUAUGAUCAAUAAAGGAAUGCAUUAGAAGUACA